AGCAGCCGCGGUAAUUCCAGCUCCAAUAGCGUAUAUUAAAGUUGUUGCAGUUAAAAAGCUCGUAGUUGAAUUUCGGGAUUGACGUGACGGUCGUGCCUUAAGGGGUAUGAACUGUCGCAGUUGAUUUCUCACCUUCUGGAGAAGCUUGAUGUCCCUAAUUGGGUGUCAUGUGGAACCAGGACCUUUACCUUGAAAAAAUUAGAGUGUUUAAAGCAGGCAUUUUGCUCGAAUACAUUAGCAUGGAAUAAUAGAAUAGGACGGCAUGGUUCUAUUUUGUUGGUUUCUAGGAUCACCGUAAUGAUUAAUAGGGAUAGUUGGGGGCAUUAGUAUUCAAUUGUCAGAGGUGAAAUUCUUGGAUUUAUUGAAGACUAACUACUGCGAAAGCAUUUGCCAAGGAUGUUUUCAUUAAUCAAGAACGAAAGUUAGGGGAUCGAAGACGAUCAGAUACCGUCGUAGUCUUAACCAUAAACUAUGCCGACUAGGAAUCAGACGAUGUAAUUUUUAAUGACUCGUUUGG
rnacentral:rRNA from 1 species